rfam:Gorilla gorilla gorilla genomic chromosome, chr1, whole genome shotgun sequence
GCCAGGUGUGGUGGCUCACACUUGUAAUCCCAGCAUUUUGGGAGGCUGAGGUGGGAGGCUCACUUGAGCUCAGGAGUUUGAGACCAGCCUGAGCAAUAUAGUGAGAGCUCACCUCUA